rnacentral:rRNA from 1 species
AUUGAACGCUGGCGGCAUGCUUUACACAUGCAAGUCGAACGGCAGCGCGGGCUUCGGCCUGGCGGCGAGUGGCGAACGGGUGAGUAAUAUAUCGGAACGUACCCAAGAGUGGGGGAUAACGUAGCGAAAGUUACGCUAAUACCGCAUACGAUCUAAGGAUGAAAGCAGGGGAUCGCAAGACCUUGUGCUCCUGGAGCGGCCGAUAUCUGAUUAGCUAGUUGGUGAGGUAAAGGCUCACCAAGGCAACGAUCAGUAGCUGGUCUGAGAGGACGACCAGCCACACUGGAACUGAGACACGGUCCAGACUCCUACGGGAGGCAGCAGUGGGGAAUUUUGGACAAUGGGGGCAACCCUGAUCCAGCAAUGCCGCGUGAGUGAAGAAGGCCUCGGUGUAAG